AAAGUACUCCCUCCAUCCCAAAAUUCUUGUCUUAGAUUUGUCUAGAUAUGGAUGUAUCAAGUCACAUUUUAGUAUUAGAUACAUUCGUAUCUAGACAAAUCUAAGACAAGAAAUUUGGGACAGAGGGAGUAGUUG
rnacentral:pre_miRNA from 1 species